rnacentral:rRNA from 1 species
AUGCAUACAUACUUACCACCAAGUGCAGCCAGAGUGAAGAACUGCUAUCUGAAGAAGCAAGCAGCAACAAGGCUGCUACUUUAUUUUAUCCUUCACUUCGCCACAGUUUCGGCUCAGCAAGAGGAUCGCAACUGGGAGAAGCAAUGGUGCAUAGCGGAUGAGCAAACACCAGAUGAUAUCCUACAGAUUGCUCUUAGCUGGGCAUGUGGUCCUGGAGGUGCAGAUUGUACGAUGAUUGAGCCUAACAAAUCGUGUUACCUUCCCAAUACAGUCAGGGACCAUGCAUCUUAUGCCUUCAACAGCUACUGGCAAAAAUACAAGAACCAUGCUGGUUCUUGCUACUUCAAUGCAGCUGCAAUGGUCACCGACCUAAAUCCAAGUCGUAACUCAUGUAACUUUGAAGUAGUGCCCUGA